UACGAAGGGUGCAAACGUUGCUCGGAAUUAUUGGGCGUAAAGCGCACGUAGGCGGCUUUGCAAGUCCCAUGUGAAAUCCCACGGCUCAACCGUGGAAGUGCAUGGGAAACUGCAGAGCUUGAGUACUUAAGAGGAUCGCGGAAUUCCCGGUGUAGAGGUGAAAUUCGUAGAUAUCGGGAGGAACACCAGUGGCGAAGGCGGCGAUCUGGGUCGAUACUGACGCUGAGGAGCGAAAGCAUGGGGAGCGAACAGG
rnacentral:rRNA from 1 species